CCUACGGGAGGCAGCAGUAGGGAAUAUUGCUCAAUGGGGGAAACCCUGAUGCAGCAACGCCGCGUGGGGGAUGAAGGUUUUCGGAUUGUAAACCUCUGUUGGUAGAGAAGAUAAUGACGGUAUCUAACGAAUAAGCCCCGGCUAACUCCGUGCCAGCAGCCGCGGUAAUACGGAGGGGGCAAGCGUUACCCGGAUUUACUGGGCGUAAAGGGCGCGUAGGCGGUAUUGUAAGUCUGAUGUGAAAUCCUAUGGCUCAACCCUAGAACUGCAUUUGAAACUGUUAUACUAGAGUACGGGAGAGGUAGGUGGAAUUCCUGGUGUAGCGGUAAAAUCCGUAGAUAUCAAGAGGAAUACUCAUGGCGAAGGCGACCUGCUGGAACAUAACUGACGCUGAGGCGCGAAAGCGUGGGGAGCAAACAGGAUUAGAUACCCCGGUAGUC
rnacentral:rRNA from 1 species